CCUGUGAGUCCUUGGCACCUAAGAGGUUCGAGUCCAUAAGGCUUCCAAGGCCAAGAUCUGGUGAGCCCUUGGGUGACCUGAGUGGGGAGAGAGAAAAGUCUACGCGGUUCGAGUCCAUAAGGCUCCCGCUCCCCUAAAAGGAGUUUGGUGAGAUCGGCUAAACCUUGGUGGCAUGACUUCAUUUUGGAUUUCUACGCUGGUGUCGAUCUGAAAGUUGGUUAAAGAGACAACAAGGUUUCAGCUACACUUCACAUCUCCCAAGAGCCACGGAACCCAAUUACAUAAUUAUCUUCCUUGAUGGCCGUGAAAAGGUGACUGAGCUGUCAUGUCAAGCAAGGAUCACCCUGACAUUUCCCUGUGCCACAAUAUAGCUAGGCAUAUACUACAACAGACUGUGGAAGGGGUUUCCAUCAUCUUCAUUCUUCUCUCUCCUCUGCCCACCUACCCCAAGGUUUCUCCUAGUAGAGUAAUUUAGUAGUAGGUAAAAUGUCUAAAAGAAAAGAGACCCAGAGAGAUGAGUUGCCAACAGAGUGACUUCCCAGGAACAGAUGCCUUGCCCAGGAGAAGACCUCUGAGUACCUAGCAACAAAAGAAAAAGAAUUAAGACCCCAUUAAGUUCCAAAAAUGUGACCUGCUUUUGUUACGUUUGCUUUCUACAUGUAUGCCUCUCUACUUGAGAACUCUGUAUGUCCAGUCUUCCUACUGAUAUUAUUACAUUGGUGGGAGGGUGUCUCCUUAUGAAGGAGAGGCUGUUGUUCUUUAGAGGGCCUGUUUUUAUUUUAUUUAUUUAUUAUUAUGUUUCAAUAAAUUUCUGGUUUAAAAAUUUAUGUUAACUAAU
rnacentral:lncRNA from 1 species